rnacentral:rRNA from 1 species
GAGUUUGAUCAUGGCUCAGAUUGAACGCUGGCGGCAUGCCUUACACAUGCAAGUCGGAACGGCAGCACGGGAGCUUGCUCCUGGGUGGCGAGUGGCGGAACGGGUGAGUAAUGCAGUCGGAACGUAUCCUGGAGUGGGGGAUAACGUAGCGAAAGUUACGCUAAUACCGCAUAUUCUGUGAGCAAGGAAGCGGGGGACCUUCGGGCCUCGCGCUCUUGGAGCGGCCGAUGUCGGAUUAGCUAGUUGGUGAGGUAAAGGCUCACCAAGGCGACGAUCCGUAGCAGGUCUGAGAGGAUGAUCUGCCACACUGGAACUGAGACACGGUCCAGACUCCUAC